UACAGAGGUGGCAAGCGUUGUUCGGAAUUACUGGGCGUAAAGGGCGCGUAGGCGGUCUUGCAAGUCCUGUGUGAAAUCCCUCGGCUCAACUGAGGAACUGCACAGGAAACUGCUUGGCUUGAGUUCGGGAGAGGGAAGCGGAAUUCCGGGUGUAGCGGUGAAAUGCGUAGAUAUCCGGAGGAACACCAGUGGCGAAGGCGGCUUCCUGGACCGACAUUGACGCUGAUGAGCGAAAGCUAGGGGAGCAAACGGG
rnacentral:rRNA from 1 species